rnacentral:rRNA from 1 species
CGAAGGAUGCAAGCGUUAUCCGGAUUCGAUUGGUUUAAGGGGAGCGUAGGUGGACUGGUAAGUCAGUGGUGAAAUCUCCGAGCUUAACUCGGAAAUUGCCAUUGAUACUGUCGGUCUUGAGUAUAGUUGCCGUUGGCGGAAUAUGACAUGUAGUGGUGAAAUACAUAGAGAUGUCAUAGAACACCGAUUGCGAAGGCAGCUGACGAAACUAUAACUGACACUGAGGCUCGAAAGUGUGGGGAUCAAACAGGAUUAGAUACCCUGGUAGUCCACACUGUAAACGAUGAUUACUCGCUGCUAGAGGGCAACUUUUAGUGGCUUAGCGAAAGCGAUAAGUAAUCCACCUGGGGAGUACGCCGGCAACGGUG